rnacentral:tRNA from 1 species
GGUGGCUCAGUGGUAGAGCACUUGCCUCGCCUGCAUGAGGCCCUGGGUUCAAUUCCUCAGCACCA